rnacentral:rRNA from 1 species
UACGUAGGGGGCGAGCGUUGUCCGGAAUUAUUGGGCGUAAAGAGCUCGUAGGCGGUGUGUCGCGUCGAUCGUGAAAACUUUCAGCUUAACUGGGAGCUUGCGGUCGAUACGGGCAUCACUGGAGUUCGGCAGGGGAGACUGGAAUUCAAGGUGUAGCGGUGAAAUGCGCAGAUAUCUUGAGGAACACCGGUGGCGAAGGCGGGUCUCUGGACCGUAACUGACGCUGAGGAGCGAAAGCGUGGGGAGCGAACAGG